ACCGGAGGAUAGCUCAGUCGGUAGAGCAGGAGACUCUUAAUCUCAAGGUUGUGGGUUCAGGUCCCACUUUGGGCA